rnacentral:rRNA from 1 species
UACGAAGGGGGCUAGCGUUGCUCGGAAUCACUGGGCGUAAAGGGCGCGUAGGCGGCCAUUCAAGUCGGGGGUGAAAGCCUGUGGCUCAACCACAGAAUUGCCUUCGAUACUGUUUGGCUUGAGUCUGGUAGAGGUUGGUGGAACUGCGAGUGUAGAGGUGAAAUUCGUAGAUAUUCGCAAGAACACCGGUGGCGAAGGCGGCUCACUGGCCCGAUACUGACGCUGAGGCACGAAAGCGUGGGGAGCAAACAGG